CCCUACGGGGGGCAGCAGUGGGGAAUAUUGCACAAUGGGGGAAACCCUGAUGCAGCAACGCCGCGUGAGUGAAGAAGGUUUUCGGAUUGUAAAGCUCUGUUAGCAGGGAAGAGGAAGGACGGUACCUGCAGAGGAAGCCCCGGCUAACUACGUGCCAGCAGCCGCGGUAAUACGUAGGGGGCGAGCGUUAUCCGGAUUUACUGGGUGUAAAGGGAGCGUAGACGGUUCUGCAAGUCUGAAGUGAAAGCCCGUGGCUUAACCGCGGAACGGCUUUGGAAACUGUGGAACUGGAGUGCUGGAGAGGC
rnacentral:rRNA from 1 species